CAAAAACGCAAGCUUCAGUCUGUGAUUGUUUUAAGACAACCGGAGGAGUGUCCUAACAAGUGCUCUGAGACCAGCUCAAGCUCAGCACAUACCUGUCAUCCUUCUGCUACUGUCAUCCAGAUGCCACUCUGCCUGAGGAACUGCGUCCCAAGCUGGGCUAUCUGGCUUAUCAAAGGCUCAUCCCAUGAUCUCUGACAUUUUCCUUGUCCUGGUUUGUCUAGAUCUCCAUCAAAACAACCACUCCCCGUGGUCACCUCUUCCAGGGGUGGGCGCAGCAAAAAAGGAUGAAUAAAAGUGAAAGACUGCAGACAGCGGUGGUACACGCCUUUGAUCCCAGCACUCAGGAGCCAGAGGCAGAGGCAGAGGAUCUCUGAGUUCCCGGCCAGCCUGCUCUAUAGAGUGAGUUCCAGGACAGCCAGGGUUAUACAAAGAAAUUGCAGUCUCAAACAAAACAAAACAAACACUGAGGACUUAGAAGAGGGGUUGGACUGGGCUUCUAUUUUUGGAAGGAAGAACUAGCUCGUGUUGCUUUGAUUCUUUGUUUCGGGUUGGUUUGGGCUUUGUCAGCGGUGGUAUAUUUAUUUAUUUAUUUAUUUAUUUAUUUAUUUAUUUAUUUAUUUAUUUUUGUUCAUUUGUAUGUUUUUAAAGACAGAGUCUCAUGCAGCUUCUGCCUGGAAGUCGCAAAUGAAGCAAAGGCUGGCUUUAAGUUCCUGAUCCUCCUGGUUCCACCUCCUAAGCGCUGAGGUCACCAGUAUACACCACCACAUCCUGUCCCCCACUUAACUUGUUUUAAUAUCCACAAUUUAUACUUAAUGUUCUUGGCAUGUGAGCCAAACGGUUGCUAUGGCAACCUCUCUCGAUCCAAACAACCCUCUGAAACAGGUACUGUGUCUGCCACUCUAUGCUCGGGAGAAGUGAGCUCUGGGCAGAGAUGGGGCCUUCUUUUUUUUUUUUUUUUUUUUUUAAAGAUUUAUUCAUUUAUUAUAUAUAAGUACACUGUAGCUGUCUUCAGAUACACCAGAAGAGAGGAUCGGAUCUCUUUACAGAUGGCUGUGAGCCACCAUGUGGUUGCUGGGAAUUGAACUCAUGACCUCUGGAAGAGCAGUCGGGUGCUCUUAACCACUGAGCCAUCUCUCCAGCCCAGAGAUGGGGCCUUCUUAUUGACCUUGUUUAAACUUUGAACAUUCCUUUGAGGUGAAUGUGAUGGCCGCUGUUUUAUGGGUAGAACGCAGAGCUGGGAAAGAUGCAUCCCAACUCAGGCCGUAGAUGUGUCGGGCUCAGGCUCUACCAAGUGGCCCAGGAGAGACGUCAUUUAGCCAUGACCCUCUGAGAGCCCAGUGGUUCAGUGAGGACAGGGCUUCUUCACUGCCUGUCAGCUCCAUGCUCUGUCACCAUCUUUGUCUGUGGCCGAGGAAAUAGGUUCCAGAGCGCAACCUUCUCAAGGCUGUCCAGUCGCCUAGCACAGGGCUUGGAUGCAAGCCGCUCUUAUCUUGUGGCACAGGGAUGGUAUUAAGGAGUAACCCCAGCAUUUCCUUCACAGUCCUGCUAUGUAGCAACUUCUGGCUCAGCCCAGGCAGCAGGAAAGCAACGCUGAGAACACACCUCCCACAGUUCAGUUCAGGCCCUUGGGUGGAAGCAAGGCCUCGAUGGUCCAGAAGCACAGCAUCUCCCCUCCCCCGCCCCCCAGAAUCCUUUAGGCUCAGGACCCUGGGGGCUUGUGGGUAACUGUGUGUUAUCCAGCUGUUGUCUCAGAUCCUAGGAAGAAGGUUUCCAGUGAGGUUGGAGGCCUAGGCGGCCUCCCUCGAGGCCCCAACAGAAGUCAACAGGCCUCAGAAGCCAGGCUCUGAACUCGGAUUUAACACGAAAAGGCUUUAAGGUGCUCACGCUGAGAGAAAGAAUGGACAGGUGGUGCCUGCAAUGUCCCCAACAAGGUCGCACAUUUGUGAGCUCUGCAAUGUACCAACUAUGUCACCAUAAGCAAGUUGCAUACCCUUUCUAAAUACACCCCCAUGGAGAGAAACAGGGGUGGGGGUGGGGAUGGGGACUCUCCACAGAGUUCUUGUGAGGAGACUAAAUCAUAAAAGUGCUCACAUGGCCUGGCCUGCAGGAGCUACUCAAUAAAUGCCACAUGGUA